rnacentral:rRNA from 1 species
UAUGUGAUCGUCUCUCGCAUAUCAAUAAGCGGAGGAAAAGAAACUAACAAGGAUUCCCCUAGUAACGGCGAGUGAAGCGGGAAGAGCUCAAAUUUGAAAUCUUAAAGGGUUUCCCUUUACGAAUUGUAGUUUAAAGAAGUGUUUUCUGUUGAGGUUUUGGUAAAAGUUCUUUGGAAUAGGACAUCAUAGAGGGUGAGAAUCCCGUAUUUGACCUUUACUUUCAACUUUGUGAUACACUUUCAAAGAGUCGGAUUGUUUGGGAAUGCAGUCCAAAAUGGGUGGUAAAUUUCAUCUAAAGCUAAAUAUUGGCGAGAGACCGAUAGCGAACUAGUACCGUGAGGGAAAGAUGAAAAGAACUUUGAAAAGAGAGUUAAACAGUACGUGAAAUUGUCAAAAGGGAAGCGUUUGACACCAGUGUUGUUUUUCUGAAAAUCAAUUAAAGAACUGUUUAUGCUAAGUUGUUUAGACUUUAUCAGCUAAUCUGUUUAGUUUUGAGCUUUUCUUUAAUGCACUUUUCAGUUAACAAGUCAACAUCAAUUUCUUUUGCUGUAAAAAAGCUUGAGGAAGGUGGCUUGAGAUUCGUCUUAAGUGUUUAUAGCCUCUUGCCUAUGCAGUCGGAGAGAUUGAGGUCUGCAGCGUAGAUCCUUCGGGGCUAAAUGCAUUUGUGCUAAGUUAUAGCAUUUUAUAGACAACUUGUUGACUAUGAUUUGUCUUGUAGCUUACUCGCUUAUGUUAUUUUACCUACGCUUAGGAUGUUGAGUAGCGACAUACGCAC